rnacentral:rRNA from 1 species
UACGGAGGGAGCUAGCGUUAUUCGGAAUUACUGGGCGUAAAGCGCACGUAGGCGGCUUUGUAAGUUAGAGGUGAAAGCCUGGAGCUCAACUCCAGAACUGCCUUUAAGACUGCAUCGCUUGAAUCCAGGAGAGGUGAGUGGAAUUCCGAGUGUAGAGGUGAAAUUCGUAGAUAUUCGGAAGAACACCAGUGGCGAAGGCGGCUCACUGGCCCGGUACUGACGCUGAGGUGCGAAAGCGUGGGGAGCAAACAGG